rnacentral:rRNA from 1 species
GAGGAAAGAGGGAGGCGUGCCUAAUACAUGCAAGUCGAGCGAACAGACGAGGAGCUUGCUCCUCUGACGUUAGCGGCGGACGGGUGAGUAACACGUGGAUAACCUACCUAUAAGACUGGGAUAACUUCGGGAAACCGGAGCUAAUACCGGAUAAUAUAUUGAACCGCAUGGUUCAAUAGUGAAAGACGGUUUUGCUGUCACUUAUAGAUGGAUCCGCGCCGCAUUAGCUAGUUGGUAAGGUAACGGCUUACCAAGGCGACGAUGCGUAGCCGACCUGAGAGGGUGAUCGGCCACACUGGAACUGAGACACGGUCCAGACUCCUACGGGAGGCAGCAGUAGGGAAUCUUCCGCAAUGGGCGAAAGCCUGACGGAGCAACGCCGCGUGAGUGAUGAAGGUCUUCGGAUCGUAAAACUCUGUUAUUAGGGAAGAACAAAUGUGUAAGUAACUAUGCACGUCUUGACGGUACCUAAUCGGAAAGCCACGGCUAACUACGUG